rnacentral:rRNA from 1 species
CGUAACAAGGUCUCCGUUGGUGAACCAGCGGAGGGAUCAUUACCGAGUUUACAACUCCCAAACCCCUGUGAACAUACCUAUACGUUGCCUCGGCGGAUCAGCCCGCGCCCCGUAAAAAGGGACGGCCCGCCCGAGGACCCCUAAACUCUGUUUUUAGUGGAACUUCUGAGUAAAACAAACAAAUAAAUCAAAACUUUCAACAACGGAUCUCUUGGUUCUGGCAUCGAUGAAGAACGCAGCAAAAUGCGAUAAGUAAUGUGAAUUGCAGAAUUCAGUGAAUCAUCGAAUCUUUGAACGCACAUUGCGCCCGCCAGUAUUCUGGCGGGCAUGCCUGUUCGAGCGUCAUUUCAACCCUCAAGCUCAGCUUGGUGUUGGGACUCGCGGUAACCCGCGUUCCCCAAAUCGAUUGGCGGUCACGUCGAGCUUCCAUAGCGUAGUAAUCAUACACCUCGUUACUGGUAAUCGUCGCGGCCACGCCGUAAAACCCCAACUUCUGAAUGUUGACCUCGGAUCAGGUAGGAAUACCCGCUGAACUUAAGCAUAUCA